rnacentral:rRNA from 1 species
AGUAACACGUAGGUAACCUGCCCAUGUGUCUGGGAUAACUGCUGGAAACGGUAGCUAAAACCGGAUAGGUAUACGGAGCGCAUGCUCGGUAUAUUAAAGCACCCUUCAAGGUGUGAACAUGGAUGGACCUGCGGCGCAUUAGCUAGUUGGUGAGGUAACGGCCCACCAAGGCGAUGAUGCGUAGCCGGCCUGAGAGGGUAAACGGCCACAUUGGGACUGAGACACGGCCCAA